rnacentral:rRNA from 1 species
AAAAUUUGGUGGGGUAGUAAAGAGGGACAUCAUAAACUCAGUUGGGCUUCCUGGGAUACUUUGACACAACCCAAGUAUCCGGGGGGUUUGGGCUUCAAGGAUUUUGAACUAUUCAAUUUGUCUUUAUUAGCGAAGCAGGCGCGACGCAUACUUCAAACACCAGAAUCGCUUAGCACAAGAAUUUUAAAGGUUGUCUACUUUCCCGCUAGUUCCAUUCCAGAUGCAGAACUGGGGAACCACCCUAGCCAGACAUGGAGAGCUAUUGUGGAGGGACGUGAUGUCCUAAAACAAGGAUUGAUUAGGAUAAUUGGUAAUGGAGCUUCAACUAAUAUAUGGAGAGACAAUUGGACACCAAGGGAUGUGAUGAUGCGCCUAUUUGGAUGUCGGUCGGACAAUCCUCCUGUAUAUGUCUCUGAACUCAUUGAUUACACUUCAGCUACAUGGGACAAUGAGAAAAUCGCCAAGGUUUUUCUACCAGAUGUGCCAGCCAUAAUCAGUAUACCAUUAUGUACAAGGGGCAUUGCUGAUAGUGGGGUGUGGAAUUUUGAAAAAGUGGUAACUUUUCUGUCGGAUCAACUUAUAAGAUGA